rnacentral:lncRNA from 1 species
AGGUGCGGUGGCUCACGCCUGUAAUCUCAGCACUUUGGGAGGCUGAGGCGGGCGGAUCACCUGAGGUCAGGAGUUCGAGACAAGCCUGGCCAACAUGCUGGAACCCCAAUCUCUACUAAACAAAUACAAAAAUUAGCUAGACGUGGUGGUGGGUGCCUGUAAUCCCAGCUACUUGGGAGGCAGAGGCAGGAGAGUCGCUUGAACCUGGAAGGCGGAGGUUGCAGUGAGCAGAGAUCGCGCCACUGCACUCCAAUCUGGUGAGACUGAGACUCCUUCUCAAAAAAGAAAAAAGAAAAGAAAUAAUUAAAAGGGUGUUGGUUUAAGCCUUAAGUUUUGGGGUGGAGACAUUGGCUGGAGCCCCGGAAUGUGCUAACAUGUACAUUCGGUCUGUGGUCCAUGAAAGGUUCCUAGCUAUGGGGGCUGUGAUGGGUCCAAGGGCUUUCUGGGAUGGGGGCUCUUUGUGUGAUUAUAUUGCAGAGGCCAGAGCAGAGGCUGUGGAGCGGGUAUGAGAAUGGGGUUUGGGUUUUUUUUUUUUUUUGAGACGGAAUUUUGUUUUGUUGCCCAGGGUGGAGAAA